AUCAUCAUCAUCAUCAUCAUCAUCAUCAUCAUCAUCAUCAGCUUCAACCAUCAACAUCAAUCACCAACAAACAGAAACGCAGAACGAAAAUGGAAAAUGCAGAACAAUCAGUUGAUUAUUAUUACGAUUCUGAUUGUGAAUCACCUAAAUUAUGGAAAAAUGUUACCGCAGAGAAAACUCCAGAUGUAAUGGAUGAAAUAAUCAAAUUGGAAGUGAAGAGAAAAAUUCAAGAAAAAUUGAAUAAAGACAUUGAAAAAAAACGCAAAAGAAAUAAGAAAUGAAGAGGAAAUGGACAAUUCUCACCCAAACAAAAACGAG